ACGUAGGUGGCGAGCGUUACUCGGAGUUACUGGGCGUAAAGGGUCCGUAGGUGGCCAACUAAGUCUGAGGUGAAAGCCUGCAGCUCAACUGCAGAACGGCCUUGGAAACUGGAUGGCUAGAGUGCAGGAGAGGUAAGUGGAAUUUGUGGUGUAGCGGCGGAAUGCGUGGAUAUCACAAGGAACACCAGAGGCGAAAGCGGCUUACUGGACUACAACUGACACUGAGGGACGAAAGCCAGGGGAGCAAAAAGGAUUAGAUACCCUUGUAGUCCUAGCUAUAAACGCUGUGCGCUCGUCGUCGGGGUGGUUAGUCGCCCCGGUGACUCAGCUAACGCGAUAAGCGCACCGCCUGGGAAGUACGGUCGCAAGACUA
rnacentral:rRNA from 1 species